GGGGCAACCUGGCGACGAGUGGCGAACGGGUGAGUAAUACAUCGGAACGUGCCCAGUAGUGGGGGAUAGCCCGGCGAAAGCCGGAUUAAUACCGCAUACGACCUACGGGUGAAAGCGGGGGACCGCAAGGCCUCGCGCUAUUGGAGCGGCCGAUGUCAGAUUAGGUAGUUGGUGGGGUAAAGGCCUACCAAGCCGACGAUCUGUAGCUGGUCUGAGAGGACGACCAGCCACACUGGGACUGAGACACGGCCCAGACUCCUACGGGAGGCAGCAGUGGGGAAUUUUGGACAAUGGGCGCAAGCCUGAUCCAGCCAUACCGCGUGCGGGAAGAAGGCCUUCGGGUUGUAAACCGCUUUUGUCAGGGAAGAAACGCGCUGGGCUAAUACCCCGGCGUAAUGACGGUACCUGAAGAAUAAGCACCGGCUAACUACGUGCCAGCAGCCGCGGUAAUACGUAGGGUGCAAGCGUUA
rnacentral:rRNA from 1 species